CUCAACACACCUGGCUCCUUGAAUUAUCUCCCUUAUAUUUCAGGUAUAUAAUUUUUCUUAAAAGUUAUAUGCAUCUUAGUACUUUCCUUUAGUAUGCUUUAUAUUUUUCUAAUUUAAUCUUUAUGUACCCUCCAAGGUUAUGGCACCUAAUAAGAGACAGAAGCAACUUGUUGAUAAUGGACCUGAUGAAGCCUCCAAGAUUAUGGCACCUAAUAAGAGACAGAAGCAACUUGUUGAUAAUGGACCUGAUGAAGCCUCCAAGAUUAUGGCACCUAAUAAGAGACAGAAGCAACUUGUUGAUAAUGGACCUGAUGAAGCCUCCAAGAUUAUGGCACCUAAUAAGAGACAGAAGCAACUUGUUGAUAAUGGACCUGAUGAAGCCUCCAAGAUUAUGGCACCUAAUAAGAGACAGAAGCAACUUGUUGAUAAUGGACCUGAUGAAGCCUCCAAGGUUAUGGCACCUAAUAAGAGACGGAAGCAAUUUGUUGAUAAUGGACCUGAUGAAGCCUCCAAGGUUAUGGCACCUAAUAAGAGACAGAAGCAACUUGUUGAUAAUGGAACAGAUGAAGCCUACUUAAUCGGGAUGCAAAAGUUUUUGGAUUAUGCUUUUGGAAGAACAGAAGAACUAUAUGAAAUACGAUGUCCAUGUGUCAAAUGUUGCUACACAACUUUAGGAACACGCGAAACAAUCGAGUCACAUUUGAAGGUUUAUGGAAUAAUUCAAAAGUAUUCUUUAGGGGUGUCUGGAAAUGAUUCACCAGGUGCUAUAGGUGUGGGACGAGGCAAAGAACAGGAGGUUAGAUCUAUGCGCUCUAUGGGGGCAUCUGGAAAUGAUGUAGGAUCCUUCCAUCAAAAUUCUCUUUACGCUGGUCAAAGUAUGGCAACACCUUCUAAUAGUACUAGUUCAGAUGCUACCAUAUCUGAUUAUUCUGGUGAAAGUAUGCCAUCUCAUUCUACUGGUACAAGUUCAGAUCCUACCACAUCUGCUGGUCAAGGAAUGCAGAGAACAAAUAAACACCCCUUGGUUCAUGACAAGGAACAAAUGCAAAUUGAUAUUACAUCGCCUCCGUCUACCGAUCAAAUUAUGCAAAACACCCUAAAUGUUGAAACAAG
rnacentral:lncRNA from 1 species